AUUGAACGCUGGCGGCAGGCUUAACACAUGCAAGUCGAACGAGUGGCGGACGGGUGAGUAAUGUCUGGGAACCUGCCUGAUGGAGGGGGAUAACUACUGGAAACGGUAGCUAAUACCGCAUACCAUCGGAUGUGCCCAGAUGGGAUUAGCUAGUAGGUGGGGUAAAGGCUCACCUAGGCGACGAUCCCUAGCUGGUCUGAGAGGAUGACCAGCCACACUGGAACGGAGACACGGUCCAGACGCCUACGGGAGGCAGCAGUGGGGAAGAUUGCACAAUGGGCGCAAGCCGGAUGCAGCCAUGCCGCGUGUGUGAAGAAGGCCUUCGGGUUGUAAAGUACUUUCAGCGGGGAGGCGUUACCCGCAGAAGAAGCACCGGCGAACUACGUGCCAGCAGCCGCGGUAAUAC
rnacentral:rRNA from 1 species